rnacentral:rRNA from 1 species
UACGGAGGGGGGCUAGCGUUGUUCGGAAUUACUGGGCGUAAAGCGCACGUAGGCGGCUUUGUAAGUUAGAGGUGAAAGCCCAGGGCUUAACCCUGGAAUUGCCUUUAAGACUGCAUCGCUAGAAUCGUGGAGAGGUGAGUGGAAUUCCGAGUGUAGAGGUGAAAUUCGUAGAUAUUCGGAAGAACACCAGUGGCGAAGGCGACUCACUGGACACGUAUUGACGCUGAGGUGGCGAAAAGCGUGGGGAGCAAACAGG